rnacentral:rRNA from 1 species
AUUGAACGCUGGCGGUAUGCUUUACACAUGCAAGUCAUACGGGAGUUAGUUUCGGCUAACUCCAGUGGCGGACGGGUGAGUAACACGUGAGAAUUCGCCUUUAGGAGGGGGAUAACAGGGGGAAACACCUGCUAAAACCCCAUAUGCCUUCGGGUCAAAAGAGUAAUCUGCCUAAAGAGAAGCUCGCGGCUGAUUAGCUAGUUGGUGGGGUAAAGGCCUACCAAGGCGACGAUCAGUAGCUGGUCUGAGAGGAUGAUCAGCCACACUGGAACUGAGACACGGUCCAGACUCCUACGGGAGGCAGCAGUGAGGAAUUUUCUGCAAUGGGCGAAAGCCUGACAGAGUAAUACCGCGUGAGGGAAGAAGGCUUACUGAGUUGUAAACCUCUGUUACCUAAGGAGGAAGAUCUGACGUUACUUAGGAGACGAAGCAUCGGCUAACUCCGUGCCAGCCGCCGCAGUAA